UUCCUGACACCAACCAUUUCUAUCUAAAUCGCUUUCCCUCAUAAUCGAUUUAGCUUACUAGCUCUCGCUCUCUGAUUCACACAUCUCUCUGAUCUCCCCUAAUCCUUGUAUUUUCUCUGAUCUAUACCACCACUCUUCAAUAUUUUUACUUAUUCUAAAGAAUCGAUAGUGUGUCUAACACUAUAAUUGAUUUGGAUGUGAUUUUUAGGGUUCUUGUUUUUACGGUGUCUCUAGAGGCAAUCUCUAUAAUAGCAAGUGAAGCAAUUUUGCCAAUGAUGGUAAAAUGAGAGAAUCAUAUAUAGAAAAGGUUAUUUACAUGGAAGCAUUGGAACUGAUAAAAGGUAAAGCUGGUGGGUUGGCUUACACAGAUAAUCUCUAUACAUGUUGGUCUCCUUGGAUUGCUUUUGUUGUUCCAGCAGGAUAUGUGGUUGCAUGAUUGUAAAGAUUGUUGGAGUAGCUACUAAGUUAGCUGCAGGAGUAUAGAUGACAAGGUACACAUGACUUUUUUCUUCUUUUGGUGCAUGUAAUUUUGAACUUUAGUUAAGUCAUUGUUGAAUUUGAAAGUUUGUUGGCAGUAACUGCUCAUGCAAUUGUCUCGUAGAUACAAUUUUGGACAUAGCAAAUUGUUUAUGAUGUAUAAGUUUGAGCAAAAGCUACUUUUUGUUUGAAUUCAAAUAUCAGAUCUUAUAGGUUGGGUUUUUUCCCUCUAGCUUGGAGACAAGUUUAUUGCAUAGUAGUAUAAAGUUAUAAUAUGCUAUAACUUCACUUGGUAAUAUAGAGAAAAACAAACUUUUUGUCAUGUCUUGAAUUUGUACUUUCACAUGGCCAAGCACAAGAAUAAUAAUAUGUAUAGAGGGACUGUAAUUGGAGAAAUACUUAGUUAGCACUUUCUUUAUUAUGAGAAAUAUUUGUGGAUAGUGUCAUCUUUAGUUUUGAAUAUCCGAAUGAAACUUCGGUAGUUUAACAUCAGUUCUGUUGGAGCAGGGUAAAUCAAGUUUCAAGAUGAAACUGUUUCCUCUCAUUGUAUACAAAAAUCAACAAAUCAUAUCCAUUAAUAUUUUUUGUAUUUAUUAUGUAAUUGAUUGAAAAAGCUAAAAUGGCCUAUGAUGCAGGCAAUGUUUUGCACAAUUAUGAUACAGGUGAAUGUUCUUAUUUGUUCUUAUAUUAAAUAUCAAAUUAGUUUGCAAUAGAUUAGUGUAUUGAUUUGAUGAACUGUAUUGGGGAUGAACAAGCUAGAACGAACUCUUGCACUUUUUUCAAUAGGAUCAUUCAUUAUUCUUCAUAAUCUCAAACCUUUUUUAAUCCUAUAUCUAGUUUUCCUAACUCAUUAACUCAAAAGUCAAAGACUUGGGAUGAAAUUUCAAAACUCUAAAGGAGCCUAUGAUGGCUCCAAUUAUUUAAUAGCUACUAGUUAUGGUAUAAAAAUCAUCUGAAAAUGUAAAAUUCGUUGGUGAAAAUUACUUGCAAGGAUGAUGAAAACCUAACACCACCCUUAAGGAGUGUUUUUAAUGAGUA